ACUCCUACGGGAGGCAGCAGUGGGGAAUAUUGCACAAUGGGCGCAAGCCUGAUGCAGCCAUGCCGCGUGUAUGAAGAAGGCCUUCGGGUUGUAAAGUACUUUCAGCAGUGAGGAAGGUGGGUAUGUUAAUAGCAUACUCAUUUGACGUUAGCUGCAGAAGAAGCACCGGCUAACUCCGUGCCAGCAGCCGCGGUAAUACGGAGGGUGCGAGCGUUAAUCGGAAUUACUGGGCGUAAAGCGCAUGCAGGUGGUUUGUUAAGUCAGAUGUGAAAGCCCGGGGCUCAACCUCGGAAUUGCAUUUGAAACUGGCAAACUAGAGUACUGUAGAGGGGGGUAGAAUUUCAGGUGUAGCGGUGAAAUGCGUAGAGAUCUGAAGGAAUACCGGUGGCGAAGGCGGCCCCCUGGACAGAUACUGACACUCAGAUGCGAAAGCUGGGGAGCAAACAGGAUUAGAUACCCUGACAGGCUCUGC
rnacentral:rRNA from 1 species